AACCGGGGACUUGAACGAUGAGCACGCCCUGGCUUUCAGACUCGCGUCUCCAGGCUGCCGCGAAUGUGCUCCUGCUGUUCUCGGCCACCCGGACUGUGCCACUUUGUUUGGGGGCGCUAAGGAACGAAUUCGCCCCGCCGUGGCUCCUGCGCUGACUUCUGGGGCUGUGGCUGCGCGUGCCUGGGCUCAGGGGACCUCGGGGCUCCCUUGACAGCCCUUGCUGUCCACGUGCACGCCUCCCGGCCCCGCCGCCCGCGGAACUCGGUCGCCCCGGGAGCCGUCCCCCAGGCGGGCGUCGCUUCUCCCCUGGACGACGGUGGCUCCGGUCGCUGGCACCACCGUGGACGCCUCUCCACCGGCGGCCACGCUCUGCUCCGGCCACCCGCCGUCCCGCCGCCCUCGCGGGCCUCCCUCCUGAGCACCAGACACAGGAGAGUGAGUUUCGGACUCUGCAAACGCCUCCCCCUUUCCCCGCGCCUGCAUUUAAGACGUGAUUCCCGUUGCACCUUCCCGGAGCCUCUCCCGCACCGUGAGCCACACGUACAGACCAAACCUACCCGACGGGGAUGUGGGGUCACUGGGCGAAAGGCAGAGGAAUCGUUUCUGCCUUAUCUGCUGUGCGUAAACUGCACUGAUUGCCCUGAAAUAUAAAAAGGCGUAUUUCGUAGCACAGGGAAGGUCCACACACGGACUUCGCUCAUGACCCAUUCACACCUUAUUUAAUCCUGGAGGAGAACGUAGGGGAUCCAUGAGGCUUUAUAAGGAAGGCAGACCCAGGAGGCAGGCUUCAAUCGGUUCAGGAAAGGACCUGUAUUUUCCAGUUAGGAGGACUCACACUAAGCUGGAGUGUUUCAGUCAAGGCAGUCAGCAUUUCCACUGGGACUUGCCUUAGCCAGAGACUUAGAACGUCGUGGGAAUUGUAAAGGGUGCGUGCUUUUGAGGUUUACUGUGCUACAUUUGCUAAAUGGCUACGCUUAAAUUCGGUUUUGCUUUUUUGCGGUUUCGAUUUUUCCUUCGCGUAAAGGAUCUAGACUUUCACAUUUAAGAUAAUUAAUAGAUACGGGGCGCCUGGGUGGCUCGGGAGGGUGGGCGUCCGACUCUCGAUUUUGGUUCGGGUCAGGUUCUCACCGUUCGUGGGAUCGAGCCUCACGUUGGGCUCUGCACUAACAGUGCUGAGCCUGCUUGGGAUUCUCUCUCUGUCCCUCCCCCACUGUCUCUCUCAAAAUGAAUAAAUAAACAUUUUUUAAAAAAAGAAAAUUAGGG
rnacentral:lncRNA from 1 species